AUUGAACGCUGGCGGCAGGCCUAACACAUGCAAGUCGAGCGGAGCGGCGGACGGGUGAGUAAUGCUUAGGAAUCUGCCUGGUAGUGGGGGAUAACGUCCGGAAAUGGGCGCUAAUACCGCAUACUAUUAGAUGAGCCUAGGUCGGAUUAGCGAGUUGGUGGGGUAAAGGCCUACCAAGGCGACGAUCCGUAACUGGUCUGAGAGGAUGAUCAGUCACACUGGAACUGGGACACGGUCCAGACCCCUACGGAAGGCAGCGGUGGGGAAUAUUGGACAAUGGGCGAAAGCCGGAUCCGGCCAGGCCGCGUGUGUGAAGAAGGUCUUCGGAUUGUAAAGCACUUUAAGUUGGGAGGCGUUACCAGCAGAAUAAGCACCGGCUAACUCCGUGCCAGCAGCCGCGGUAAUUC
rnacentral:rRNA from 1 species